rnacentral:rRNA from 1 species
AACGAACGCUGGCGGCAUGCCUAACACAUGCAAGUCGAACGAGACCUUCGGGUCUAGUGGCGCACGGGUGCGUAACGCGUGGGAACCUGCCCUUAGGUUCGGAAUAACUCCCCGAAAGGGGUGCUAAUACCGGAUAAUGUCUUCGGACCAAAGAUUUCUCGCCUUUGGAUGGGCCCGCGUUGGAUUAGCUAGUUGGUAGGGUAAAAGCCUACCAAGGCGACGAUCCAUAGCUGGUCUGAGAGGAUGAUCAGCCACACUGGGACUGAGACACGGCCCAGACUCCUACGGGAAGCAGCAGUGGGGAAUAUUGGACGAUGGGCGAAAGCCUGAACCAGCAAUGCCGCGUGAGUGAUGAAGGCCUUAGGGUUGUAAAGCUCUUUUACCCGGGAUGAUAAUGACAGUACCGGGAGAAUAAGCUCCGGCUAACUCCGUG